rnacentral:rRNA from 1 species
GACGAACGCUGGCGGCGUGCUUAACACCUGCAAGUAGCGCGGAGCGGCGAACGGGUUGGUAACGCGUGAGUAAAUGCCCCCCUCUCUGGGAUAAAAGAUGGAAACGGCUGCUAAUACCGGAUAGUGGGGGAUGACUCGCGUCCUAUCAGCUUGUUGGUGGGGUAGUGGCCUCCCAAGGCGACGACGGGGAGCCGGCCUGCGAGGGCGACCGGCCACAUUGGGCUGGGCUACGGCCCAAACGACUACGGGAGGCAGCAGUUGGGAAUAUUGCACAAUGUGGGAAACCCUGAUGCAGGAACGCCGCGUGGGGGAUGAAGGCUUUCGGGUUGUAAACCUCUGUCGCUAUCGAAAGGGUAGGUGGAGAAGAAGCGCCGGCUAACUACGUGCCAGCAGCCGCGGUAAUUC